GCGUCUUUAGCUCAGCGGCAGAGCGCUGCUCCGACACAGCAGAGGCGGAACGUUCAACUCGUUCAAGACGCACCA
rnacentral:tRNA from 1 species